ACCGGAGUUCCGUAAAGUCAAGGCUUUCGGAAGCGUGUCUUGUAAAUUCAGUAACCCACCGGCGACGUAAAAACGCUCGCAGCGGAUCCCGAUGAGGUCGCGUUGCGUUGUCGUCGGUUAUGAAAAACCAAUCUGCGGCGGGGUUUCGCCCCAUUGAGGGAAUCCUCCGCCACAUUUAGCAAGCGGUUACUUUCUUU
rnacentral:sRNA from 12 species